rnacentral:rRNA from 1 species
GAUGAACGCUGGCGGCGUGCCUAAUACAUGCGAGUCGAGCGAACAGACGAGGAGCUUGCUCCUCUGACGUUAGCGGCGGACGGGUGAGUAACACGUGGAUAACCUACCUAUAAGACUGGGAUAACUUCGGGAAACCGGAGCUAAUACCGGAUAAUAUAUUGAACCGCAUGGUUCAAUAGUGAAAGACGGUUUUGCUGUCACUUAUAGAUGGAUCCGCGCCGCAUUAGCUAGUUGGUAAGGUAACGGCUUACCAAGGCAACGAUGCGUAGCCGACCUGAGAGGGUGAUCGGCCACCCUGGAACGAGACAACGGUCCAGACCCCUACGGGAGGAAGCAGUAGGGAACCUUCCGCAAUGGGCGAAAGCCUGACGGAGCACCGCCGCGUGAGUAAUGAAGGUCUUCGGAUCGUAAAACUCUGUUAUUAGGGAAGAACAAAUGUGUAAGUACCUAUGCACGUCUUGACGGUACCUAAUCAGAAAGCCACGGCUAACUACGUG